rnacentral:piRNA from 1 species
UGCCGACACUGAAACUCCUCAUCUUUU